CUACGGGCCGCACCAGUGGGGAAUAUUGGACAAUGGGCGCAAGCCUGAUCCAGCCAUGCCGCGUGAGUGAUGAAGGCCUUAGGGUUGUAAAGCUCUUUCAGCGAGGAGGAUAAUGACGUUACUCGCAGAAGAAGCCCCCGCUAACUUCGUGCCAGCAGCCGCGGUAAUACGAAGGGGGCUAGCGUUGUUCGGAAUCACUGGGCGUAAAGCGCACGUAGGCGGACUUUUAAGUCAGGGGUGAAAUCCCGGGGCUCAACCCCGGAACUGCCUUUGAUACUGGAAGUCUCGAGGCCGAGAGAGGUGAGUGGAACUCCGAGUGUAGAGGUGAAAUUCGUAGAUAUUCGGAAGAACACCAGUGGCGAAGGCGGCUCACUGGCUCGGUACUGACGCUGAGGUGCGAAAGCGUGGGGAGCAAACAGGAUUAGAUACCCCUGUAGUC
rnacentral:rRNA from 1 species